UACGCCAAGGCACACAGAACUCUGUUACCUUCCAACCCAAGUGGUACCUAUUUAUCUACUCGCAUUUACCUGCUUUCGAACUGCUAGGUGGGCAGGAGCUGAGGCAAGGAACAGGAACUCAUCCCACCUGGGUGCUGGGGUCUCGAACAGAGGCUGUAAGGAUACAUUAACAGAAUCUAUGAGCUGUGGUGGUGCAGUGGUUAGAGUGCAGUACUGCAAGCUACUCCU